ensembl:rRNA 5S_rRNA 5S ribosomal RNA
AACUGAGUCUAUCGCCAUACUUAAACCUACUGACCUCUUCUGAUCUCAGAAGCCAAGCAGCGUCAGGCCUGGUUAAUACUUUGAUGAGAGAAAAACUGAAUGGGUUUCCUCUAACAAGACAAGGAUGUCUGCUC